rnacentral:lncRNA from 1 species
ACACUCAGGGUGAGAGGGAGAUUCUGAAGCUUUGUGUUUCUUGCUAGCUAGUCAAAGGAUAGAAAAAUAAUACAUGCCAAAAGAAAUUUGAGGAACAAAUUCAGCCCUGAGACAGGUCACGGAAACAGCCCUCCAGUCUUCCUCAAGAAAUGUAGACUGAAUCAGCAUUUACCCACCCCUGGAAAAACGCAGGAGCUGCGCAUUCCUGGGAUCUCAGCAGGGCUUUUGGGAAGAGCAGAACUGGGCUGGAGUCACGGUUUCUGGGCUGACUCUAGAUUUUCCCCGGCUUUUGCCACCUGUGAUGGCUGGAGAGUAUCUGAAGAUGACAGUUCUGGAGGCAGGUGUCUAGGAUCAAGGUGGUGGCAAGGCUAUUCCUUCUGUUGCCUCCCUCCUUGCCUUGUGGAUGACCGUCUUCUCCGCGUCUUUCCAAGAUCUCUCCUCUGUGCAUGUCAGUGUCCUUGCUUCCUCUUCUUAUGAAGACACCGGUCAUGUUGGAAUGCAACAGAAGAGAGUGCACGGCUUCUGAGGUUGCAGCUUUUGGGAGAAGCCAUCUACCAUUGAUGACAGACAUGCCGUGUGGAAACCAAACCAGCCAUGUGGAGAGGCUACCUGGACAGAGGCACAGGGCCAGCAGCAGCUGUGGAGACAGACAUGUGAGCAAAGAAAUCAUCUUUGAUGUACAGCCAAGUUGAGCCUUCAGAUGACUCCGAUUUCAGCCACCUUUGGACUGCAACCACAUGAAAGACUCUAAAUAGAAGCCUCCCAGCUGAUCCCGGUUAACCCACAGUGCUGAAGGGGAUAAUAAUAAAUUGUUGUUUUAAGCCACUAA